rnacentral:rRNA from 1 species
AUACGUAGGGGGCGAGCGUUGUCCGGAAUGAUUGGGCGUAAAGGGCGCGUAGGCGGCGCGGUAAGUCUGGAGUGAAAGUCCUGCUUUCAAGGUGGGAAUUGCUUUGGAUACUGCCGCGCUUGAGUGCAGGAGAGGUUAUCGGAAUUCCCGGUGUAGCGGUGAAAUGCGUAGAGAUCGGGAGGAACACCAGUGGCGAAGGCGGGUAACUGGACUGCACCUGACGCUGAGGCGCGAAAGUGUGGGGAGCAAACAGGAUUAGAUACCCUGGUAGUCCACACUGUAAACGAUGAAUGCUAGGUGUAAGAGGUAUCGACCCCUUUUGUGCCGGAGUCAACACAAUAAGCAUUCCGCCUGGGGAGUACGGCCGCAAGGUUGAAACUCAAAUGAAUUGACGGGG